UGAGUUGACUAAACAGUCGCUAGUGUAUGCUAGAGGAAAGUCCGGACACAAUGAGGAAGGUGCCAGAUAACAUCUGGACAGUGUGAACUAAUGGAAAGUGCCACAGAAAAUAUACCGCCUUUACAGGUAAGGGUGAAAUGGUGCGGUAAAAGCGCACCGCAUUGUUGGUAACAACAAUGGCAGGGCAAACCCCACCUUGUGCAAGAUCGAAUAGGAGGGCUAUAACCACCUCUGGUUGCCCUUGGGUAGAUCGCUUGAGCGUAAGGGCGACUUUACGCCUAGAUGAAUGACUGUUCUAGACAGAAUCCGGCUUAUCGGUCAACUCGCUAA
rnacentral:RNase_P_RNA from 1 species